rnacentral:rRNA from 1 species
CCUACGGGUGGCAGCAGUGGGGGAUAUUGCACAAUGGGGGGAACCCUGAUGCAGCGACGCCGCGUGGGUGAAGGAGUGCUUCGGCAUGUAAAGCCCUAUCGGCAGGGACGAAGCAAGACGGUACCUGACUAAGAAGCCCCGGCUAACUACGUGCCAGCAGCCGCGGUAAUACGUAGGGGGCGAGCGUUAUCCGGAUUCACUGGGUGUAAAGGGAGCGUAGACGGGGAUGCAAGCCAGGGGUGAAAGCCCGGGGCACAACCCCGGGACUGCCCUUGGAACUGUGCGGCUAGAGUGCGGGAGGGGCAGGCGGAAUUCCUGGUGUAGCGGUGAAAUGCGUAGAUAUCAGGAGGAACACCGGCGGCGAAGGCGGCCUGCUGGACUGCGACUGACGUUGAGGCUCGAAAGCGUGGGGAGCGAACAGGAUUAGAUACCCCGGUAGUC